rnacentral:tRNA from 1 species
GGAGGUGUAGCUCAGAGGUAGAGCAUUUGCCUAGCACACAUGAGACCCUGGGUCCAAUCCCCAGUCCCUCAU